GAUGAACGCUGGCGGCGUGCCUAAUACAUGCAAGUCGAGCGAACGGACGAGAAGCUUGCUUCUCUGAUGUUAGCGGCGGACGGGUGAGUAACACGUGGAUAACCUACCUAUAAGACUGGGAUAACUUCGGGAAACCGGAGCUAAUACCGGAUAAUAUUUUGAACCGCAUGGUUCAAAAGUGAAAGACGGUCUUGCUGUCACUUAUAGAUGGUUCCGCGCUGCAUUAGCUAGUUGGUAAGGUAACGGCUUACCAGGGCAACGAUGCAUAGCUGACCUGAGAGGGUGAUCGGCCACACUGGAACUGAGACACGGUCCAGACUCCUACGGGAGGCAGCAGUAGGGAAUCUUCCGCAAUGGGCGAAAGCCUGACGGAGCAACGCCGCGUGAGUGAUGAAGGUCUUCGGAUCGUAAAGCUCUGUUAUUAGGGAAGAACAUAUGUGUAAGUAACUGUGCACAUCUUGACGGUACCUAAUCAGAAAGCCCCGGCUAACUACGUG
rnacentral:rRNA from 1 species